AUGUCACACUGGCAAAGGGCUUUACUCAUCUGUAUUGCGUUCUGCUUAGUGAUCAGAGCUAAAGACACUGUCCAUCAGUCAGAAAGCAUGAUAAGCUCUGAUGGCAGAAUGAUGACCCUUAACUGCACGUAUACCUCUACUGAUGCUAACCCGUAUCUGUUCUGGUACAUCCAACGAGGAAAGGAAUCCCCCAAAUACAUACUGAGAAAGGACAAGUACACUGAAGAGAACAGCAAAGAGUUCACGGAUAGAUUUAAUGCCAGUCUCAUCACAACAGAUGCAACAAAAACCUUUCCUCUGACAAUUCAAAACCUCCAUGUGACUGACUCUGCUGUGUACUACUGUGCUCUGAGGCCCACACUGAUCAUAAGAGGCUCUGCUGUCAUACAAAAACCUGGAGUUUUGGGAAAGCAAAAGAGCUGA